AGAGUUUGAUCCUGGCUCAGAACGAACGCUGGCGGCGCGUCUUAAGCAUGCAAGUCGAACGGCAAGGCAGGUGCUUGCACCUGCCCUAGAGUGGCGGACUGGUGAGUAACACGUGGGUGACAUACCUUUUAGUUGGGGAUAGCUACUAGAAAUAGUAGAUAAUACCGAAUGUGACCAUUAUCUUUAGAUGAUAAUGAGGAAAGGAGCUAAGGCUUCGCUAAAAGAUUGGCCCGCGGCCCAUUAGCUAGUUGGUAAGGUAAAGGCUUACCAAGGCGAUGAUGGGUAUCCGGCCUGAGAGGGUGAUCGGACACAUUGGGACUGAGAUACGGCCCAGACUCCUACGGGAGGCAGCAGCUAAGAAUAUUCCACAAUGGACGAAAGUCUGAUGGAGCGACGCCGCGUGGAUGAUGAAGGCCGAAAGGUUGUAAAAUCCUUUUACACUGGAGGAAUAAGCAGAGUAGGGAAUGACUCUGUGAUGACUGUACAGUUUGAAUAAGCAACGGCUAAUUACGUGCCAGCAGCCGCGGUAACACGUAAGUUGCGAGCGUUGUUCGGAAUUAUUGGGCGUAAAGGGCAUGUAGGCGGACUUGAAAGCUUGAUGUGAAAUCCCGCAGCUUAACUGCGGAACUGCAUUGGGAACUGCAAGACUAGAGUUACUGAGGGGAAACUAGAAUUCCAAGUGUAGGGGUGAAAUCUGUAGAUAUUUGGAAGAAUACCAAUGGCGAAGGCAAGUUUCUGGCAGAUAACUGACGCUGAGGUGCGAAGGUGCGGGGAGCAAACAGGAUUAGAUACCCUGGUAGUCCG
rnacentral:rRNA from 1 species